GUGCUCGCUUUGGCAGCACAUAUGCUAAAAUUGGAAUGAUACGGAGAAGAUUAGCAUGGCCCCUGUGCAAGGAUGAUACCAAAUUCAUGAAGCAUUCCACAUUAAA